rnacentral:rRNA from 1 species
AUUGAACGCUGGCGGCAGGCCUAACACAUGCAAGUCGAGCGGGGUUUUCGGACCUAGCGGCGGACGGGCGAGUAAUGCGUAGGAAGCUGCCCGAUAGAGGGGGAUACCAGUUGGAAACGACUGUUAAUACCGCAUAAUGUCUACGGACCAAAGUGUGGGACCUUCGGGCCACAUGCUAUCGGAUGCGCCUACGUGGGAUUAGCUAGUUGGUGAGGUAAUGGCUCACCAAGGCGACGAUCUCUAGCUGGUUUGAGAGGAUGAUCAGCCACACUGGAACUGAGACACGGUCCAGACUCCUACGGGAGGCAGCAGUGGGGAAUAUUGGACAAUGGGCGCAAGCCUGAUCCAGCCAUGCCGCGUGUGUGAAGAAGGCCUUCGGGUUGUAAAGCACUUUCAGCGAGGAGGAAGGGUGGUGUGUUAAUAGCACAUCAUUUUGACGUUACUCGCAGAAGAAGCACCGGCUAACUCUGUGCCAGCAGCCGCCGCGGUA